rnacentral:rRNA from 1 species
UACGAAGGGGGCUAGCGUUGUUCGGAAUUACUGGGCGUAAAGCGCGCGCAGGCGGUCUUCCAAGUCAGUGGUGAAAGCCCGGAGCUCAACUCCGGAACUGCCAUUGAAACUGUUAGACUUGAGGAUGAGAGAGGUGAGUGGAAUUCCCAGUGUAGAGGUGAAAUUCGUAGAUAUUGGGAAGAACACCAGUGGCGAAGGCGGCUCACUGGCUCAUUACUGACGCUCAGGCGCGAUAGCGUGGGGAUCAAACAGG